GCAACAGCUCAAAUUUGAAAUCUGGCUCUUUUAGGGUCCGAGUUGUAAUUUGCAGAGGGCGCUUUGGCGUUGGCAGCGGUCCAAGUUCUUUGGAACAGGACGUCACAGAGGGUGAGAAUCCCGUACGUGGUCGCUAGCCUUCGCCGUGUAAAGCCCCUUCGACGAGUCGAGUUGUUUGGGAAUGCAGCUCUAAAUGGGAGGUAAAUUUCUUCUAAAGCUAAAUACUGGCCAGAGACCGAUAGCGCACAAGUAGAGUGAUCGAAAGAUGAAAAGCACUUUGGAAAGAGAGUCAAAUAGCACGUGAAAUUGUUGAAAGGGAAGCGCUUGCAGCCAGACUUGCCUGUAGUUGCUUAUCCGGACUUUUGUCCGGUGCACUCUUCUGCGGGCAGGCCAGCAUCAGUCUAGGCGGUUGGAUAAAGGUCUCUGUCAUGUACCUCUCUUCGGGGAGGCCUUAUAGGGGAGACGACAUGCAACCAGCCUGGACUGAGGUCCGCGCAUCUGCUAGGAUGCUGGCGUAAUGGCUGUAAGCGGCCCGUCUUGAAACACGGACCAAGGAGUCUAACAUCUAUGCGAGUGUUUGGGUGUCAAGCCCAGACGCGUAAUGAAAGUGAACGGAGGUGGGAACCCUUUGGGUGCACCAUCGACCGAUCCUGAUGUCUUCGGAUGGAUUUGAGUAAGAGCAUGGCUGUUGGGACCCGAAAGAUGGUGAACUAUGCUUGAAUAGGGUGAAGCCAGAGGAAACUCUGGUGGAGGCUCGCAGCGGUUCUGACGUGCAAAUCG
rnacentral:rRNA from 1 species